CCUACGGGCGGCAGCAGUGAGGAAUAUUGGUCAAUGGACGAGAGUCUGAACCAGCCAAGUAGCGUGAAGGAUGACUGCCCUAUGGGUUGUAAACUUCUUUUAUAUGGGAAUAAAACGUUCCACGUGUGGGAUUUUGUAUGUACCAUAUGAAUACGGAUCGGCUAACUCCGUGCCAGCAGCCGCGGUAAUACGGAGGAUCCGAGCGUUAUCCGGAUUUAUUGGGUUUAAAGGGAGCGUAGGUGGAUUGUUAAGUCAGUUGUGAAAGUUUGCGGCUCAACCGUAAAAUUGCAGUUGAAACUGGCAGUCUUGAGUACAGUAGAGGUGGGCGGAAUUCGUGGUGUAGCGGUGAAAUGCUUAGAUAUCACGAAGAACUCCGAUUGCGAAGGCAGUUCACUGGACUGCAACUGACACUGAGGCUCGAAAGUGUGGGUAUCAAACAGGAUUAGAUACCCUAGUAGUC
rnacentral:rRNA from 1 species